rnacentral:rRNA from 1 species
GACGAACGCUGGCGGCGUGCUUAACACAUGCAAGUCGAACGGAAAGGCCCUGCUUUUGUGGGGUGCUCGAGUGGCGAACGGGUGAGUAACACGUGAGUAACCUGCCCUUGACUUUGGGAUAACUUCAGGAAACUGGGGCUAAUACCGGAUAGGAGCUCCUGCUGCAUGGUGGGGGUUGGAAAGUUUCGGCGGUUGGGGAUGGACUCGCGGCUUAUCAGCUUGUUGGUGGGGUAGUGGCUUACCAAGGCUUUGACGGGUAGCCGGCCUGAGAGGGUGACCGGCCAAAUGGGGAUGGGGAAACGGCCCAGACUCCUAGGGGGGGAAGGGGGGGGGAAUAUUGCACAAUGGGCGGAAGCCUGAUGCAGCAACGCCGGGGGGGGGAUGACGGCCUUCGGGUUGUAAACCGCUUUCGCCUGUGACGAAGCGGGGGUGACGGUAAUGGGAAAAGAAGCACCGGCUAACUACGU